UUGAUUUUGAGCCCCUUUGUUCACUAGGUAAAUAAUAUCGAAAAAUCCCAUAGUUUAUUUUCUAGAUACUUCAAAUACUCUAGAUCAAGUUUAACGGAGCCGAUCAACGAUUCGAAAGUUGCAACAUGAAAAACGGCAUGGAAGCACGGAAGGCUUCGUGCUUCCAGAAGCAUAGUAGCCUCACUCUAUAUAUAUAUAUAUAUAUAUAUAUAUAUAGGCUAAUGCUACUAUCCUAUUAAUAGGAUAGUAGCAUUUAUCCUAUCAAGUUGUUCUUGAUGAUAGAGAUUCCGAAUCGAUUAUCGGAGCCGUUGAAGUUGAUCUAGAGUAUUUAAAAUAUCUAGAAACUAAAUUUUAUAAAUUUUGAAAAUUAUUUACAUGGUGAUCAAAGUGUUGUAAAAUAGACAAUUU
rnacentral:lncRNA from 1 species